rnacentral:miRNA from 15 species
AGAGAAUAGUGGCUGUGCUGUA